UACGUAGGGCGCGAGCGUGUCCGGAAUUAUUGGGCGUAAAGAGCUCGUAGGCGGCCUGUUGCGUCCGCUGUGAAAUCCCGGGGCUCAACCCUGGGCGUGCAGUGGAUACGGGCAGACUAGAGUUCGGUAGGGGAGUCUGGAAUUCCUGGUGUAGCGGUGAAAUGCGCAGAUAUCAGGAGGAACACCGGUGGCGAAGGCGGGACUCUGGGCCGAUACUGACGCUGAGGAGCGAAAGCCAGGGGAGCAAACGGG
rnacentral:rRNA from 1 species